rnacentral:rRNA from 1 species
CCGCGGAGGGUUAAAGCCCCGUCCAUCCUGAACAGGACGAUUUCGUACAAGAAUGUCUCGAAAGAGUCGGGUAGCUUGAGAAUGCUGCCCUAAGAUAGGUGAUAAGUUUCAUCUAAGGCUAAAUACUGGUGGGAGACCGAUAGCAAACAAGUACCGUGAGGGAAAGUUUAAAAGCACUUUGAAAAGAGAGUGAAAAGAACCUGAAACCGCUACGUGGAAACCGCAUUGUAGCAGAGUGAAGGGUGCUUUCUGUUCAGCUUAGUUUACUAGGUGUAUUCAGUAAGUUGCCCGCCAGCCGUGAGCUUUUGGUGGUCGAUUUUCGACUGCUGGGGGUGGAGGGCUCCCUUUAGAGGUGAGGACGUGCUGGAUAAUGCUGCGAUUCGACCCGUCUUGAAACACGGACCAAGAAGUCUAGCAUAUAUGCGAGUCAAAGGGUGUUUAAACCUGAGGGCGCAGUGAAAGCGAUAUUAGAACUUGCAGUUUGUGGCGGCAUAUGAUCUUUGAUCGUAAGUCCGACCUAGAGCAUAUAUGCUAGGACCCGAAAGAUGGUGAACUAUGCUUGAGUAGGGUGAAGCCAGGAGAAAUUCUGGUGGAAGCUCGUAGCGGUGCUGACGUGCAAAUCGCUCGUCAAACUUGAGUAUAGGGGCGAAAGACCAAUCGAACCAUCUGGUAGCUGGUUUCCUCCGAAGUUUCUCUCAGGAUAGCGGACCAAUUCUAUGUUGUUAUGAACGGUAAAGCGAAUGAUUAGCGCAUCUGGGGGAAUUUAUUCCUCCUGGCGAUUCUCAAACUUUAAAUGUGCAUGGAGAUUGCUGCUUAGGUGAGCUCUCUCGCUAAAAACAUUUGGUUCCGUGGGCCAAUCUUGGUAAGCAGGACUGGCGAUAUGGGAUGAACCAUAAGUGUAGUUAAGGCGCCAAAUUACCCGCUUAAAGAUCCA